rnacentral:rRNA from 1 species
UGGGGAAUAUUGGACAAUGGGCGCAAGCCUGAUCCAGCCAUGCCGCGUGAGUGAUGAAGGCCCUAGGGUUGUAAAGCUCUUUCACCGGUGAAGAUAAUGACGGUAACCGGAGAAGAAGCCCCGGCUAACUUCGUGCCAGCAGCCGCGGUAAUACGAAGGGGGCUAGCGUUGUUCGGAUUUACUGGGCGUAAAGCGCACGUAGGCGGACUUUUAAGUCAGGGGUGAAAUCCCGGGGCUCAACCCCGGAACUGCCUUUGAUACUGGAAGUCUUGAGUAUGGUAGAGGUGAGUGGAAUUCCGAGUGUAGAGGUGAAAUUCGUAGAUAUUCGGAGGAACACCAGUGGCGAAGGCGGCUCACUGGGCCAUUACUGACGCUGAGGUGCGAAAGCGUGGGGAGCAAACAAG